rnacentral:rRNA from 1 species
UACAGAGGUCUCAAGCGUUGUUCGGAUUCAUUGGGCGUAAAGGGUGCGUAGGUGGCGCUGUAAGUCGGGUGUGAAAUUUCGGAGCUUAACUCCGAAACUGCAUUCGAUACUGCGGUGCUUGAGGACUGGAGAGGAGACUGGAAUUCAUGGUGUAGCAGUGAAAUGCGUAGAGAUCAUGAGGAAGACCAGUGGCGAAGGCGGGUCCCUGGACAGUUCCUGACACUGAGGCACGAAGGCCAGGGAGCGAA